GGGUGGGGACUAUAAUGGCAUCUGUUAUUCCAUUGAUUACCAACAUUGAUUUAUUAUCUGGCUAGAUGGGUGUUCUUUCUUCCUUCUUUGUUAUAUGUGCAUCUUUUUGAAGUUGCAUACUCAGUGGAAGAGGACAGGUAUCCCAGAUAAAAGCAUGUCAUUCCCCUACUAG
rnacentral:snRNA from 1 species